CCCUACCCUGGUUUCUUUCGCUGACAAAGACCCAAAUCUGCUCCCUGAGCCCCUCUUCUCUCCUCAGUCUCGGAGCCAGGGGCGAUCCGUCGACCUCGCCUCUCCGCCGCCGCAAUCUCCUCCUUCCUCUCCUCGUCAGUUACUACCGUGAGCUGAGUGAGAUCGAUAAAGAGUGGAGCUUGCCAGUUCAGCCUCAAGAGUGAGGGGAGAGUCUCAGGCUUGGGAACCUUUUCCUUUGGACACAUAGCUUGAUAAAAGCAACACCCGGGUGUCGCCGAAGAAGCAUAGAUCGGGAGUUUUCUUGGCCUGAGAACUACAGGAGAGCAGCGUAGUGAUAGCAUGGCUUCAAAGCUUGUGGUUCUUGGAAUCCCUUGGGAUGUGGAUACAGAAGGAUUAAAAGAGUACAUGAGCAAGUUUGGCUCCCUGGAUGAUUGCAUUGUUAUGAAGGAUCGCUCAUCUGGUCGAUCUCGUGGUUUUGGAUACGUGACAUUUUCAUCGGUAGAGGAUGCAAAGAAUGUCGUUAACUCCGAGCAUAUUCUUGGAGACCGAACUCUGGAAGUGAAGAUAGCGACUCCCAAGGAAGAAAUGCGAGCUUCAGGAAACAAGAAAGCUACUAGGAUAUUCGUUGCUCGGAUUCCACAGUCUGUGGACGAGUCAAUGUUUCGCAGGCAUUUUCAGUCUUUUGGAGAAAUAACAGAUCUUUAUAUGCCCAAGGAACUGGGUUCAAAAGAACAUCGUGGAAUUGGGUUUGUUACUUUCCGGAGUGCAGAAUGCGUGGACAAUGUCAUGCAAGAAAAUCAUGAGAUUGAUGGCACAACCGUUGUUGUUGAUCGUGCAACUCCGAAGCAGGAUGAAGAAGUCAGACAUCCUCCAAGGAGGGGGGGAGCAGAGCGCGAGGGUGGUUAUGGCUCAUACAAUGCAUACAUUACAGCUGCUACCAGAUAUGCAGCUCUGGGCGUACCAACACUGUAUGAUCAUCCUGGACCAGCUUAUGGAAGAGGAUACUUAAAUGAGCCCCCUGUAUCAAGCAAAAAGAUAUUUGUUGGCAGACUCCCGCAAGAAGCGAAUACUGAUGAUUUAUGGGAUUAUUUUGGCCGAUUUGGCAGAAUUGUGGAUGCAUACAUUCCAAAGGAUCCUAAGAAGAGCGGCCACCGGGGUUUUGGUUUUGUUACUUUUGCUGAGGAUGGUGUAGCAGAUCGUGUAGCACGAAGAAGUCAUGAAAUUUUGGGACAGGAGGUUGCUGUAGACUCAGCUGCACCCGUUGAGGGUGGCCCCAGUCGAGGCGGUUACAUGGAACCACCAGGGCCUUAUGGAGCUUACGGCCCGAUGAUGUCUUAUGGCCAGUUCUCUGGCAGUCUUGGUUAUGAUGUAAUGCCGCGUGCGUGCUGACCAAGCGACCAGUUCUUGCUGGCCGCCCUACCCAUUUAUCUCGCCGUUGUCAACUACAGUAUCACGUAACUUGUCAUGGAAAACCCGGCGUUCACGGCGGAGCUGGACGUCACCCGGGGCUCAUCCUACGGUAGCUUCGUCUCCGGCGUGCGCGACCAGCUCGUGCUCCACGCCGGGGCGACGCGCCACCUGGAGCUUGUCUUGCUUCCUCCCCAGGCAGAGGAUCCCCGCAAGGCCCCAUGGUUCGGCGUCACGCUCCGGUGCGGCUCCGGGCAGCCGGCGCUGCUCCGCAUACGCGCAGACAACAUCUACCUCUGCGGUUACCGGAGCUCGGACGGCCUGUGGUCCGAGUUCCCCGGCUGCUCCCUCAUCGCCGGCGCAACGCCGCUCCCGUUCGGCGAUAGCUACGGCGCCAUGGCGAGAGUGGCCGAGACGGCACUCGAGUCACUCACCCUCGGCAAGGAGGAGCUCGAGGCCGCGGCGGAGCGCCUCGCGGCCAACGCCGGCACCCAGCAGGAGAUCGCGAGAUCGCUGAUGACCAUGUCGGUGAUGGUCAGCGAAGCCAUCAGGUUCAGGAGCGUCGGCGGCGCGCUCGGCCACAUGAUGUGCAACGCCGCCCGGCGAGGGGUGCUGCCGGCGCACAUGGUCGACCAGGUGAAGAACUGGAGUAGCCUGUCCGAGUACUGGCUCGGGGCCGUCCUCUACGGUCAGCCGUCCCCGCGGCCUCCCGUCGUGGCCGGCUGUAGCCAACAGCAUGUCUACAUCCCUCAGCAUCUGCACGCGCCGGCCAAGAUCGACUGCCAGGACCACGCCAUGAUGGCGCUCGGCGUCGCGCUGAACCGGCGGAGGGGACUGCAGGACAAGCACAGGGCGGCGCUCGACGAGCAUUGGCGCGCCGUUCGCGCCCACGCUCGCAAGCUUGACAGGGAAAGAGCAUCUGCAUCUGGUACAUGAUGAGUCGGGCUGUCAGAGUAUUAUGCUGGUGAGAGAACGAACAUGCUUUCCUAUACCUGGUAUAUUUGCCCUUUUGGCUUGAAAUGUGACCCAUGUUACAGAGGUUAUCAUCCUCCGGGUAAUGUUGCUAUAUCUGUAUCAGCAGAAAUGGAUUUACAGAACCGCAUA